CUGAUACAAUGAUGAGUGCAUAGUUCAGCAGAAAAUCUUUGAAGAACAAACCAAUGUCUUUUGCCCCUAACUGAUGUAUCAA
ensembl:snoRNA small nucleolar RNA snR60/Z15/Z230/Z193/J17